UUUGGAGUUAAUAUUUAAAGACUAGAGCUCUAAUACACUCCAAGACACUCUCUUAUUUCCUUUCAUGGGGUCACUUUACCGUAUUUUCUUGUUUAAAUAAGUUGUAAAUGAUGCAUCUGGCAGAUCCACCUUGAAAACUGAGUUUUUAACCUGUUCAUGUCAUUAUUCAGUACUAGGACUAUGUUCCACAUUGAGGUCUCAUAGAAACAUCUCCAUGCCCAGUUUUCUGCUUGGAUGUCAUUGCUCAGAGACCAUGAAAGCAUGAAACUGGAUACUGUUCCAGCAGUAUGAUAUGGAUGAACUCAUCUGAAGAUCAGGUAGGAGAUGGAGUACAGAAGAACUAACACAUGGUGUGUGGCAGGAAGAGAAGGGAGAGUCUCCUAGCUGAAUGUUGUUCUACACAGGAGAGUCUAUCCUUGCCCUUUUGCUCAUCUGCAUCACCGUGGGGAUGCCAAAGGCAGCCUGUUCAUUCAUGAUCUCCAAGUUGGAAAAGAGAAGAACCAAAUGGAAAUAACUUAGAAACAAGGAAAAUUGGACUAUGGCACCUCCUGGCAUCAGUCAUACCUCUCUGAAGAGUGAAGAGCUGCUCUGAACGUAUACGUUUGGCUGUGAUGUACCAUUUCCAGGUUAGGGACAUGCUUGCAUUGCCUGAUACACUGCAGAGCAUUGAACCUUGCAACCUGGGCUUGUCUUGUUUCUAAACUCACAUUUUUGAAUUAGCAAGCUUUUAUUUGUAUUUAAUAAUACAAAGAGUCACGUUUCCUUUAGUGCAGCAAGCACAGGAGUUCUGUGCACGGGACGCAGAAGUUCUUACAAAGUGUGUGCACGUGUCAGAAUAUCACACUGCAUCUGUGAAUCAGUUGUUGCACGAGCUAAAGCUGAAAGAAAUGCUAUUGCAUCAGCUCGGCAGCAGCACCGUCAGUCACCUUUAGUCAUUCACAUCUUGGGGG
rnacentral:lncRNA from 1 species